UAGACCCAAACUACUCAGCUGCAUGCUGAGGAACCUUGAUCCCGCCCUCCACAGCCAUUCUCAGAAAGCCAACCUCCACUUUGUCAAGGAGCUGUGGUCAGAGCGUUGAAGGAUUCUAGACUACCGUGAGUUAAUUUUGUUCGUGGAGAUCCUUCUGUGAACACUCAGGCUCUGGCACAUAAAAUGCCCCACUCGCAAGUAAGCAGGACCUGAACGAGAGGGACAAGGGACAAGGGGAAAGGGGAGCUCCUGAAAGUGCUGACAGCAAACAGUGGCAGAUGUCCGGUGGAAUGCUGGCUCACUGGGACAGAAGCAGGGUGCCGAACACUUCAGGGAUACUUCAUCAUAGCUCUCCAGCAUGCCUCUCGGCAGCUAAGGCUACUUCUCCAAACUGAUGGCAACGUGGAUGAGGACGUAUACAGAGACGAAGCAAACGUCA